UCAAAAUCGUAAAAAAAAAGUUCGUAAAUAUCACGGUUAUUAAAUAUAAAUAAAAGAACUAUAUAGCCUAGUUCAAAGAGGACGUGAAAUAAAAGAAUUAAGUGAAAGUGUAACAGAGUUACAGCAAGUACAAUUGCUAAGUGAUAUUUAUUUGCACCCUAAAUGGAAGCCACAAGUAAUAACAACGCACAAAGGAGCAAAAUAAUAAAGCAUCUGGGAUACUGUUUAGCCUUUCGGCUGACCUUGUUUAAUCGAUUUUUUGCAUGAUCAAACCUCCUCUCAAUUCGAUCAGCAUCAUUAUUCAUAUUAUCUAGUAAAACAUUUUGUUCGGACAAUUCUGUAUUCAUUGCAUAUCCCAUCCGCUUUUGCCUUUGGACACUUGCUUCGAUCCCUCCUAAAGAUUCUUCUUGUUCGUUGAGCAUUUGCUGAUGCAUUUGAGCCAAAACGUUUACGUUUAUGGGAUCAGGGUCAUUGCCAUCAACCGGAUACAUGGCCUCCAUCUCAAUAUCAGAUCCCUCACUACUCGAAGUCGUUUUUUGUAAAGAAGGAAGGGGAGUUAACUUAUUAUUCGUACUUGCAACUUGCGGGUUUGCAGAAAAGGCACUUGUUCCGUCAGCAGGAAUUGAGGAUGCACGCCGCUGCUUCUCAAACUCUUCCUCAGCAGACUCUAACCUCCUUUGCAUUCUAAUAAGAAAUGCUUCGGAUUCUCGUACUCUGUACUCUGGGAUUUGUGCAUUUUUCUCUAAUCGCGAUUGCUCCUCAUUAAGUUUUUGCAAUUCUUGCCGAACAUCUUUCAAUGAAGACUCAAUUUCUUCAUCGGGAUUCUGUCCAAACUCUUCCAACUUCCUCCUGUCUCUUAUUUUUUGUGAAACCGAGUCAAUGAUCAGAAG